AUUUGGGUUAACAAAGAGUGGUAAAAUGGAAUAAGAUAACCCAAAUGUGUAUGAGAUCCAUGACUAAGUAUGCAAGUGCCCAUAUGCAAGAAAGAUUAAGUUCAUUCAAGUCUAGAUUCAAGUUGGAGCUGGUUUCAAGAACAAUGCCAAUCAUCAAACAAACAACAAGUUUCAAGAAGAGUUUUCAAGGCUCGAAGCUUACAAGCUUUUUCAAGAGAUGCUUAACCUACUUGAUAUGUUUGGCUAGGAUGUUAGAUUGAGUUCUAGACAUGUGUUCUUUACAAGGUAUUUCAAUCCUAGUUCCCUAUGCAAAUGAAUGCAACCUAUAUGAUUUUAGACAUCUAAUUUUUUUUUUUGAAUUUUCUAUGCAAAUAGAUGUAUGCUCUAGACUCAAUCUUUAAAAAUGCAACUACAUGCUUCUUUUUGUUGUUUUUUUUUCUUUUUUUAAAAAUUCAAAUUUUUUGGAUUUUCUAUGCAAAUAUGUAUCUACAAUGCAUGUCAUAAAACACUUUAAGAUGAU
rnacentral:lncRNA from 1 species